CAUAUGAGUGCCUCGCAAGAGGAGCCCGAUGACAGGUGCUGCAUGGCUGUCGUCAGCUCGUGUCGUGAGAUGUUGGGUUAAGUCCCGCAACGAGCGCAACCCUUGUCUUUAGUUGCCAUCAUUAAGUUGGGCACUCUAAAGAGACUGCCGGUGUCAAACCGGAGGAAGGUGGGGAUGACGUCAAGUCCUCAUGGCCUUUAUGACCAGGGCUACACACGUACUACAAUGGCAGGUACAAAGGGCAGCCACUUAGCGAUAAGGCGCGAAUCCCAUAAAACCUGUCUCAGUCCGGAUUGGAGUCUGCAACUCGACUCCAUGAAGUUGGAAUCGCUAGUAAUCGCAGAUCAGCACGCUGCGGUGAAUACGUUCCCGGGCCUU
rnacentral:rRNA from 1 species